GAUGAAGAACGUAGCGAAAUGCGAUAAGUAAUGUGAAUUGCAGAAUUCAGUGAAUCAUCGAAUCUUUGAACGCACAUUGCGCCCGCCAGUAUUCUGGCGGGCAUGCCUGUUCGAGCGUCAUUUCAACCAUCAAGCCCCCGGGCUUGUGUUGGGGACCUGCGGCUGCCCGCAGGCCCUGAAAACCAGUGGCGGGCUCGCUGUCACACCGAGCGUAGUAGCAUCAUCUCACUCAGGGCGUGCUGCGGGUUCCGGCCGUUAAAAAGCCUCUAAUACCCAAGGUUGACCUCGGAUCAGGUAGGAAGACCCGCUGAACUUAAGCAUAUCAAUAACGGAGGA
rnacentral:misc_RNA from 1 species